rnacentral:rRNA from 1 species
GAUGAACGCUGGCGGCGUGCCUAAUACAUGCAAGUCGAGCGAACGGACGAGAAGCUUGCUUCUCUGAUGUUAGCGGCGGACGGGUGAGUAACACGUGGAUAACCUACCUAUACGACUGGGAUAACUUCGGGAAACCGGAGCUAAUACCGGAUAAUAUUUUGAACCGCAUGGUUCAAAAGUGAAAGACGGUCUUGCUGUCACUUAUAGAUGGAUCCGCGCUGCAUUAGCUAGUUGGUAAGGUAACGGCUUACCAAGGCAACGAUGCAUAGCCGACCUGAGAGGGUGAUCGGCCACACUGGAACUGAGACACGGUCCAGACUCCUACGGGAGGCAGCAGUAGGGAAUCUUCCGCAAUGGGCGAAAGCCUGACGGAGCAACGCCGCGUGAGUGAUGAAGUUCUUCGGAUCGUAAAACUCUGUUAUUAGGGAAGAACAUAUGUGUAAGUAACUGUGCACAUCUUGACGGUACCUCAUCAGAAAGCCACGGCUAACUACGUG